GACGAACGCUGGCGGCGUGCUUAACACAUGCAAGUCGUACGGUAAGGCCCUUUCGGGGGUCCACGAGUGGCGAACGGGUGAGUAACACGUGAGUAACCUGCCCACAACUUUGGGAUAACGCUAGGAAACUGGUGCUAAUACUGGAUAUGUGCUCCUGCUGCAUGGGGGGGGUUGGAAAGCUCCGGCGGUUGUGGAUGGACUCGCGGCCUGUCAGCGUGUUGGUGGGGUAGUGGCCUACCAAGGCGGCGACGGGUAGCCGGCCUGAGAGGGUGACCGGCCACAUUGGGACUGAGAUACGGCCCAGACUCCUACGGGAGGCAGCAGGGGGGAAUAUUGCACAAUGGGCGCAAGCCUGAUGCAGCAACGCCGCGUGCGGGAUGACGGCCUUCGGGUUGUAAACCGCUUUCAGCAGGGACGAAGCUUUUUGUGACGGUACCUGCAGAAGAAGCACCGGCUAACUACGUG
rnacentral:rRNA from 1 species